UAAGGAAUAUUGGUCAAUGGACGCAAGUCUGAACCAGCCAUGCCGCGUGAAGGAUGAAGGUCCUCUGGAUUGUAAACUUCUUUUAUCUGGGACGAAAACGGGAUUUUUAUCUCAAUUGACGGUACCAGAGGAAUAAGCACCGGCUAACUCCGUGCCAGCAGCCGCGGUAAUACGUAGGGUGCGAGCGUUAAUCGGAAUUACUGGGCGUAAAGGGUGCGCAGGCGGUCUUGCAAGUCAGAUGUGAAAGCCCCGGGCUUAACCUGGGAAUUGCGUUUGAAACUACAAGACUAGAGUGCAGCAGAGNGGAGUGGAAUUCCAUGUGUAGCAGUGAAAUGCGUAGAGAUGUGGAAGAACACCGAUGGCGAAGGCAGCUCCCUGGGUUGACACUGACGCUCAUGCACGAAAGCGUGGGGAGCAAACA
rnacentral:rRNA from 1 species